rnacentral:rRNA from 1 species
GACGAACGCUGGCGGCGUGCUUAACACAUGCGAGUCGAACGGAAAGGCCCUGCUUUUGUGGGGUGCUCGAGUGGCGAACGGGUGAGUAACACGUGAGUAACCUGCCCUUGACUUUGGGAUAACUUCAGGAAACUGGGGCUAAUACCGGAUAGGAGCUCCUGCUGCAUGGUGGGGGUUGGAAAGUUUCGGCGGUUGGGGAUGGACUCGCGGCUUAUCAGCUUGUUGGUGGGGUAGUGGCUUACCAAGGCUUUGACGGGUAGCCGGCCUGAGAGGGUGACCGGCCACAUUGGGACUGAGAUACGGCCCAGACUCUUACGGGAGGCAGCAGUGGGGAAUAUUGCACAAUGGGCGGAAGCCUGAUGCAGCAACGCCGCGUGCGGGAUGACGGCCUUCGGGUUGUAAACCGCUUUCGCCUGUGACGAAGCGUGAGUGACGGUAAUGGGUAAAGAAGCACCGGCUAACUACGUG